GGCAUUUAAUUGCUGCUGAUUGCUCUCCUCCAUGCAUUCCUUCAUGAACAGCAAGGGCCUUUUUGGGAGUUUAUUUUCACUUUCCAAAGCAGCUCAAUUCAGCUCUUUAAUUACCUUGGAGGACGCCCCAGCUGAUAAAUAAAUUUUUGCUAUCUUUUGGCCAUUCGGUUUCAUGAGUUCACACACACAAGGCUGUUCCUAUCUGAUGUUUACACCAUGGGCUGUUGGAGUUCCCCAAAACGUCAUUAAAAAUGGGCAAGCUGUUCAGCUCACAAGGAGGCUUCAUUAAGGUGCAUUCAACUUCAUUGGCCGAACCAAGACCUCUUAUUCAGCUCACCAAUACUUCCAUUAAUGUCCAGCUAAAUGGUCUCCAUCUAGAAGCUGCCCAAUUGAAUUCUUCAUGCAUGAAGCUUCCCAAAAACAUCCCAGGAAGGUUGCUGGAAAUU
rnacentral:lncRNA from 1 species